GGCGGUUGCAUUGCAGUGCCGAGAGAUAGCCUUGAUAGCAUGUAUGUCAAUUUAUUUUGUCCAAUGGUGUAUUAGUUACGAUCGAGUGGUUUGCAAAAUUGAGAGAGUGAAUUUAUAUUAGUUAUUUCGUAAAAAACACUUAAUCAUCGAUAGGCGAUUAAGAAAAAUGCGACUGCCGUAGACUUUAAUGCAACUUAAACACUUAAAAGAAAGAAGUUAUCCGUUUUAUAAAAAGAGCGCGUAUGAGAUUGUGUGUCAAUUUUCUUUUAUACUAAGACAAUUUCCAAUGAUUUCUGUGCUAUGAUGUUCGGUGAAACUUUGUGGCGCCUUAUGAAGAUGGGGUCAUGAGAAUUGCCAUAUUGCAUACAGUAGUAUACAUUUUAUCUCUAUGGCUAAGGGAAAAAUAAAAGGUUCUGACUCUAAUAAUAAGAUAGCGGCAUCAAAUGCAGCAUUUAAAAAUGGAGAGACAUAUACAUGGGAGUUUGAGAUUAACGAAACACCGCCUAGUGCUAGAACUUUGCUUACCAAGGGUUACACACAGGAUGAAAUUAAUUCGUAUUCAGGAGCAACUGUAUCAACACGUGGGCGUUUUAUGACAGAACAAGAAAAGCUGCGUUGUCCAAAUGAGAGGCCAUUGUAUUUAUAUAUACAGGGACAUACAAGACAUAAUGUUGACUUGGCGAUCCAAAAGAUUAAUGAAAUUAUUAAGACAGAACAUCAAAGUUCUUUAAAUAGACCAAGCAGAUUUACAAAUGCUCCACCACCUCUCAUGAGUUUACAUUCCGGAAUUACAACUGUGGAAAAGAUAUGCAUUGGUAUCGAGAAUGCACCGCAAGGUUUUGAUUUACGCGGGCGAAUAUUAGGUGCUGGUGAUGCAAAUUUAGUUUACAUUAGAAGUGAAAUUGGAGCAAAUGUAACUUUAAGAGGUAGAGGAUCCCAAUUUAUCGAUCCAGUUGUGGGAGCAGAAUCUCCAGAACCUCUUCACCUGUAUAUAGAACAUCCAAAGCCGGAAGCAUUGCAAAAUGCAAAACAAUUGGCUAUUAACUUAAUACAGACAAUACAGUCCGAAUUACAGACCUAUAUUCAACAACAGCCACCACCAGUACAACCUCAGCAAGUUAUAGAACAAUCACAAAUACCGCAAACACAAUUCCAAACUAUGAACAUUGGUACCUUAGGCCAACCAAAUGUGGUUGCAAUACAGCAUCAAGAUAUUAUACAACAUUCACAAAGUAAUGUUGUAACAUUGCCUGCAACAAUUCUUACGGCUACUGUAGCUGGUACUCCAGGGCCUGGUGUAUCAGUUCCUCCUCCAGGAAUUCAUAUACCAUCUCAUACUGGACCAUUAGUUCCAUCUUCACAAGCUCAGGAAAUACAAACUUUUAUGCCACCACCACCACAUGUUGGGCAAGUACAAUUAAUCGGUCCUCCAUCGACAGUAAGUCAAGUUCAGUAUCAGAUACAUCAUGGUCAGUCAUUACAAAUCCAGGGAAUUCAACCAGGAUCGCAGUCCUCACCACAGCCUAUGGCUCAAAUGUACGUCAUGAGUCAACCGCCACCACAAAGUCCUGCGCAGCAAAACUUUAUAACGAGUAGUAACGCGCCGGUGAGCGGGGCAGUAUCGUAUGUGUGCACGCAACCGAACAUGCAAAGGCCCGCCACGCCGUCCCAGGGAAUUAUCGAAACUGUUAAUGUCAAUUUGCAACAGCCUCCUCCCGCAGCGCCGCUCAAUAUAACGCAGCAACCGCCACCGCCGUUGUUACACCUUCAUUUUCCGCCGCCAAACUUUCCGCCGAAUCAACCACCGCCUCCAGUACCGCAAACCUACCAGAUACAAUAUCAACAGGUACCUGUGUCGCAGUCACAAACCCAGUUUGUUUUGCAACCCGGUGAGCAUAUUAUUCCGCCCCAGCUGCAACAGAAUCACGAGCAGUCUCAAGCUGUCGCCCAACAUAUAAUACCUCCGCAAUUCGAAGGUCAUGCGCCACCGUUUCACUUACAAGUACCUCCUCCGCCGUCCGCGCAAACUUUUCUAGUUCCUAACGCCCAAUCGCCCCAACAUCAUUCGCAACCACCUCUUCCUCCCGCCGGCGAGAUUCAGCAUCAGCAAGAGGGUCCGAUGGAGCAGGGACCGUUACCGCAGCCGGUACCACCUCCGCAAAUAGUACCGCCGCCGUCAAUCAGCCAGAUGCCGAAUUCCAUGAAUAUUCUUACCAGCGUACCGCCGCCGACGCAACCGCCUCCACCGCAGAACGCUCCCUGGCUCUAUCAAGCUCAGCAGCCGCAGCAAAUGCCGCAACCACAAGGACAAUUGCAGAUGCAAAUGCCGCCGCAGAAUAUACCUUUUCAUAACGUACCUCCACCACAAGUACAAGCUCAAAUACAAUAUCAUCCUCAGCACAUACAAUAUCAGAACGGUCAUAUACCGGCGCAAAUACAUUAUACGAUGCAACCGCCACAUCAGCAAUUCGAGCAGAAACCCGAUUCGCCGGAACAGCAAAAAUCUCACGGAGUAAAGAGAAGAUUUUCAGAUGUUGAGGGAGGACAGGAACUAUCACCGUCAUACCAAUGUGUUCCAAUACCUGCGCAACGUCACGGCACAGGAGAAGGUGAUCGACAACAGCAAGUCUUACAUGGUCCAUCACCCAUACCUGCGGGUCUGCCACAUGGAGAUCGAAACAAGAUGCUAAUGCCACCUCCACAUCCAGGUGAGAAACGGAACUUGGAUCAAAAGCCCGCAGGUCUAUCUUCAGGAAAUGAGCAGAAUGUAAUGACGGAAUCUGGGAAUAUUCUUAUUGGAAACGGUCCACCUUUACCGCCUCCGCCAUCGCCGCAGGCGCCGUGGCAAAAUCAUCAUAUGAGAGUUCCUUGGGGUAGACCACCGCCGAUUCCGAGAGAAGGAGAACCACCCGCAAUCUGCCCUGGAUUACCUCCUAUUAACAUGCCUCCACCCCAGAUUAGGCCAAGAGGACGUGGUGCUGCUGUCCUCAGGUCCCGCUGACGGUAAUCGUUCUCCUCAGAGCGCUGCAUUAGAGCAAUCGUUAAACGUCGAGUAUAAUCAGAUGCCUCCCUACACGACGAAGCCGCCUCCUUACAAUGCGCAUCCAUUGAUGCAGUCAAUCUGCAAUCCGCCACCACCACCGCCGCCCCAUCACCAACAACCGCGGCUACAGCAUCCCCCUCAAGCAAUGCAGCAUUAUCAGGUGCCAAUCUCUCAGACAUAUCAGCCGCCGACAUCCUGUCCACCGUGGAUGAAUUGAAAGUUGUCGAACUACAAAUACAUUUCUUGCUUUAAUACUUUGACGACAAAUGAUGAAUUUGAAUUAUCAAACAUGACGAAUAUUGUCAUAAUAGAGCGACGAUUAAGCCACAACGAUCUGAUGUAAAUGUGAAUAUUUUGAAGUGCAACAUGUUACUUUUGCACUUCGAUUGUUCCUUAUAAUAAUUAUUGUAAUUUAAUAAUCUAUUUGUAUAAUAAUUCUUGUACUCUUAGCUGUUAUAAUUUAACUAUCUAUUUCAAGGAAGGACGUUAUAGAAAAGCAUAUAAAAAUAUAUAUGUACAUGUUA